rnacentral:rRNA from 1 species
UGUAGGCGGCCAUUUAAGUCUGGUGUGAAAGCCCUGGGCUCAACCCAGGAAGUGCACUGGAUACUGGAUGGCUGGAGUACCGGAGAGGAGGGUGGAAUUCCUGGUGUAGCGGUGAAAUGCGUAGAUAUCAGGAGGAACACCGGUGGCGAAGGCGUCCCUCUGGCCGGAUACUGACGCUGAGACGCGAAAGCGUGGGGAGCAAACA